rnacentral:lncRNA from 1 species
CAGACGACUGGACAGGGGGGGCAACUUUCAAAGAUGAGUCGGCAAAGUGACGACGACUCGAUAAUGUAAUAAUUUUUUCGAAGGAAGAUGUUCGGAGAAUUCAGACUCUCCAUGAUGAUACUAUUAUUGUUUCAGCAACAAUAGCGAACUAUGAUGUAAAAAAAAUCUUUGUAGAUAAUGAAAGUUCAACUGAUAUUUUAUUUUAUUC